CAUUAUCGUAGGGCUUCGGCCCUGUCGAGAUAGAACCCUUGCCUUUUUGAGUACCUUUCGUUUCCUCGGCAGGCUCGCCUGCCAAUGGGGACCACAAAAAACACUUUGCAGUACCUGUAACAGUCUGAACAAACAAACAAAAAUUAAAACUUUCAACAACGGAUCUCUUGGUUCUGGCAUCGAUGAAGAACGCAGCGAAAUGCGAUAAGUAGUGUGAAUUGCAGAAUUCAGUGAAUCAUCGAAUCUUUGAACGCACAUUGCGCCCUUUGGUAUUCCUUAGGGCAUGCCUGUUCGAGCGUCAUUUAAACCUUCAAGCUAAGCUUGGUGUUGGGUGACUGUCCGCUUCACGGCGGACUCGCCUCAAAAUUAUUGGCGGCCGGUACAUUGGCUUCGAGCGCAGCAGAAACGCGAACUCGGGCCCGUCGUAUUGGCUCCCAGAAGCUAUCUUCACAAUUUUGAC
rnacentral:rRNA from 1 species